rnacentral:lncRNA from 1 species
UCAUCUUUUUUUUAACCUUGCGAGGCAGAUAUGACGUCAAAGCGGUAAACAAAAGUGCUCCCUUGCUGAAUAAAACAUACUAUAGUCAGUUGUUUCUGUUUACAAGUUCCUUAAUAAUAUUUAUUUAUCGAGAUAAUAUAAAUUAUAAUUAUUAUUAAUAUCAAUACUCAAUAGGUGUAAGAGAAAUAUCUUAAUAUCAAAUAUUCGCAAUAGUUUGCUAAAUUGUGAUAUUUACCCGUGCUUGAGGACCCAAAGAGUAUUCCUAAGAAGACCAGGAAGUUUCCAAAAACAAUAUUCUUCCUUUUUCAGUAAAUUAACAACUUACUAGGAUAGAUUUAGUGUUACAGUCGUCAAUUGAGAUACCUUAAAUUAAGAAGGAAUGGUUCAUUCGUAUUUGAGGUUGUCAAGAACUUAUAAUGGACUGGACACCAACGAAAAUUUGUUAUGAAAUCUGGAAGCGCAUUAACUUGGAAUAUGUACACUCAGACUCGUAAAAUUUGGAUAUAAAUUUGGUUCAUCUCGUGUUCACUAUGUAAAACCUUAAGGCAGCCAAUAACAAUCAUCAAGAGUCUAAAAAGGUUUCCAACGAUACCCAAUAUCCUCUUUUAAUAACUCAAGAAGGAUGUGGAAUUCUCUGUUUAUUAAUAUAUCAAAUAUUAAAUGUGUGGGUCUGUCCAUGAAUCGUAAUUACCUCCUGGAUCACUACUUUAUCCCCAGUCCAUCCCACCUAAAAACCCCUUUACAAAUAACAAUAGCACUGGAUCAACAACGAUCUUAAUAAAAUAUGGGGAUAAUAAUAAUGCAUUGAUACUUCUACUUUUUUAGGUAUAUUUAUAAUGUGGAAAAAUAUCAUUAACAAUUAUAUUAAUAUGGCCGGGAAUAAUAAUAAUUUUUAAAAAU